CUGCAUGUGAGAUGCUAAUGAUAUAUACAUCAAAGUGUUAGUAUUAAACACAACAUGAGAAAAAACAUAAAAGUGUCAAAAAAGAGGGUUUCUUUCUUUCUUUCUUUCUUUCUUUUUUUCUUUCUGUUACUCCUAACUUUUUUCUUGAGACUGAGUUUAGGGAGUGAUUAUCAACACAAUAUAUCUAACAGAGAUCUGAUUCUUUUGAAUUCUGUGGUCAUGGGGUUUUCUACAAUAUAUUUCUAUAAAGGGGUGUUAUCUUUGGUUUCAGAUCUGACAGAUUAUAUUUAUAUAUACAGUAAAGGCUCUCUCUUUUAAUGGUGGAGAGCAAUAGGGGGGACUGGGGAGAGGAACCAGAGAGAUGACAGACUGACAGAAGAGAGUGAGCACACGCACACAAUUGUAUACAGUGUAUACCUUUGUGUUUUAUAUUAUUUGCGUGUGCUCACUUCUCUUUCUGUCAGCUACUAUUUGUUUUCUUCCCUCUCUUCUCACAAAUGGUUUUAGUUUUCUUUAGUUUCCCUUAUUGAUUUCUUUUUCAUUCUAUGAUCAUAUUGGUUUUUUCCUUUUUCUUUUAUAGUUGAGUGAUUCAAAUUUACUAGUUUGACUAAUUUAAAUUCAUGUAUGAAAGGUUUAGAUUCAUUUUCAAAGCUCGAAUACGAGACCAUAUAGAUAUUAUCAUAUUUGCUAUAUCUGUCUAGAGAGAAAAUGCAAGUAAGGGCAACCCGGUACACAAAAUAUCUUGUGUUCAUAUAGGAUCGGAAAAAUGGCUGCACUCCAACGAGUAUAAUGAAGACAGCCUAUACUGAUACAAUUAUUCUUGAUUUUACGGUUCGAACAUGUGAUCUAUAGGUCAAGUAAAUAGAACUUAGACUGUUGUUCCAAGAAUUCAUUUCAGAAAAUGUAAGUAAGAUGGAGAGAUAUUGAAGAAGAUGCAGAGAAUGCUAACACAGAGAAAAAUUAUACCUUUUGAUGAACUAAUGGGCACUGAAAUGGCAGUGAACACGUGUCAUCUCUUUCUUGAAUUCUCUCUCUUCUUUUGUUCCUCUCUGGAUAGUACAUUCACCAUACAAAUAUAACAUUGACUCCAAACUCUUGACCUAAUUUUGUUUUAUUUGAUUUUUUCUGUACAUGUAUAUCAUCUUGUAUAUUUUGCAAGUUCAUAUUUUUACAAGAUUUUAAAUGGGGUUUUACAGCAGAUCAGGGGAAAAAAAGAAAAUUUUCAGUUUGAGGUUUUUGGGGAUCUUUUUUUUUUUUGUAAAACCUAGGUACUGUAUUUUUUUUUUAGUGAUACCCCCAAUUAAAUAAUAUAUUAUUAAUUGUGACUUUUUAUGUACUUAUCUCUGAUGGAGAGGACGGACAUGGAUUUGGAAGGUAACCCUGUUACUGUUCUUAUUUAACUGAAAACUGUACUUAUUUUUUUCUUCUUAAAAUAAAUAAAAUUGUUAAACAAGUAAAAGAAUACUUUUUCCCUCUUCUCUAGAACUGUCUAGUUUCUUCUUUCUUUUCUUUUCAUUUUUCCUUUUUUUUUUUUUUCAGUUUACAAUUCUCUUCAUUUUCGCUAUGGUAAUCUCUUGUUUUAGUUGAUUGUCCCUCUUUUGAAAAUUAACCAUAAAAAGCAGUUUUCUUUCUGUAUAUUGAACUCUUAUUGUUUUAAUUAAGAACUAAGGGAUUUGUUUAUUUUCUUGUCUGCACAGGUAAUAUUUUAUGUAGGUUUUUUUGCAGAGGGAAAUGAAGGAAAUUACUAGUAAAGAGUAGAACUUCAAAUGCUUCUCAGAUAUGGAGCUGGAAUUUUUCCAUGUACAGGUAUUGGCUAGAAGAGCUCAAGUUGAGGGUUGCAGUUCUCUCCGCCUUUGCGUCCAUAUGAGAUUAGUUGACAGGUUUGUAACCGUCUAUUUCUGGCCUCGGUAAAUUUUAUGGUGAUCGGCUUUUCUUGUUUUAUGUUUUGCCACUGAAGCUUCUGGCAAUGCCUUGUUCUGAUCGAAGUGUAAAUGAACGUUGUUCUCUUGCCAGGAGAGACCUUAUUCCAUUGCUCGGGUUCGAAUAUAAGCAGUCCUAAGCAGAAACCUUGUACCCCAUGUUUGAUCCUAAAGAAACAUGUUGUCAAGUUUUUCAAAUGCAGAUGACUGUUGUAGGUCAACUUUCACCUCUUCUACAAUAGGAUCCGAGGACGGGCCAGACUAUAAGAAGCAGCCUUAUCUUGCAUUUUUGCAGGACACAUUGAACUUUUUAAAUUAUGAGAUCAAAAUAUAAUAGUUAAAAUUUUGGCGAUUUCUCUCAUAUAUUUAUGUUACAUAUGAAAAUACAAUUAGAUCUCUCUAUGACAAUCAUCUUUUAUAACAGUACCUUAUUAUAACAA